GCAGUGCACUCUGUCCCACGGUUUU
rnacentral:piRNA from 1 species